CGGACGGGUGAGUAAUGUCUGGGAAACUGCCUGAUGGAGGGGGAUAACUACUGGAAACGGUAGCUAAUACCGCAUAACGUCGCAAGACCAAAGAGGGGGACCUUAGGGCCUCUUGCCAUCGGAUGUGCCCAGAUGGGAUUAGCUAGUAGGUGGGUAAAGGCUCACCUAGGCGACGAUCCCUAGCUGGUCUGAGAGGAUGACCAGCCACACUGGAACUGAGACACGGUCCAG
rnacentral:rRNA from 1 species